rnacentral:rRNA from 1 species
UGAGGUAAUGGCUCACCUAGGCGACGAUCCCUAGCUGGUCUGAGAGGAUGACCAGCCCCACUGGAACUGAGACACGGUCCAGACUCCUACGGGAGGCAGCAGUGGGGAAUAUUGCACAAUGGGCGCAAGCCUGAUGCAGCCAUGCCGCGUGUGUGAAGAAGGCCUUCGGGUUGUAAAGCACUUUCAGCGGGGAGGAAGGCGGUAAGGUUAAUAACCUUAUCGAUUGACGUUACCCGCAGAAGAAGCACCGGCUAACUCCGUGCCAGCAGCCCGCGGUAAUACGGAGGGUGCAAGCGUUAAUCGGAAUGACUGGGCGUAAAGCGCACGCAGGCGGUCUGUUAAGUUGGAUGUGAAAUCCCCGGGCUUAACCUGGGAACUGCAUUCAAAACUGACAGGCUAGAGUCUUGUAGAGGGGGGUAGAAUUCCAGGUGUAGCGGUGAAAUGCGUAGAGAUCUGGAGGAAUACCGGUGGCGAAGGCGGCCCCCUGGACAAAGACUGACGCUCAGGUGCGAAAGCGUGGGGAGCAAACAGGAUUAGAUACCCUGGUAGUCCACGCUGUAAACGAUGUCGAUUUGGAGGUUGUGCCCUUGAGGCGUGGCUUCCGGAGCUAACGCGUUAAAUCGACCGCCUGGGGAGUACGGCCGCAAGGUUAAAACUCAAAUGAAUUGACGGGGGCCCGCACAAGCGGUGGAGCAUGUGGUUUAAUUCGAUGCAACGCGAAGAACCUUACCUACUCUUGACAUCCACAGAAUUCGGUAGAGAUACCUUAGUGCCUUCGGGAACUGUGAGACAGGUGCUGCAUGGCUGUCGUCAGCUCGUGUUGUGAAAUGUUGGGUUAAGUCCCGCAACGAGCGCAACCCUUAUCCUUUGUUGCCAGCGAUUCGGUCGGGAACUCAAAGGAGACUGCCGGUGAUAAACCGGAGGAAGGUGGGGAUGACGUCAAGUCAUCAUGGCCCUUACGAGUAGGGCUACACACGUGCUACAAUGGCGUAUACAAAGAGAAGCGACCUCGCGAGAGCAAGCGGACCUCAUAAAGUACGUCGUAGUCCGGAUUGGAGUCUGCAACUCGACUCCAUGAAGUCGGAAUCGCUAGUAAUCGUAGAUCAGAAUGCUACGGUGAAUACGUUCCCGGGCCUUGUACACACCGCCCGUCACACCAU